rnacentral:rRNA from 1 species
AUUGAACGCUGGCGGCAUGCCUUACACAUGCAAGUCGAACGGCAGCACGGGAGCAAUCCUGGUGGCGAGUGGCGAACGGGUGAGUAAUAUAUCGGAACGUGCCCAGUCGUGGGGGAUAACGUAGCGAAAGCUACGCUAAUACCGCAUACGAGCUACGGAUGAAAGCGGGGAUCGCAAGACCUCGUGCGAUUGGAACGGUCGAUAGCAGAUGAGCUAGUUGGUGAGGUAAAGGCUCACCAAGGCGACGAUCUGUAGCUGGUCUGAGAGGACGACCAGCCACACUGGAACUGAGACACGGUCCAGACUCCUACGGGAGGCAGCAGUGGGGAAUUUUGGACAAUGGGCGCAAGCCUGAUCCAGCAAUGCCGCGUGCAGGAUGAAGGCCUUCGGGUUGUAAACUGCUUUUGUACAGAACGAAACGGCUCUUUCUAAUUCAAGGGGCUAAUGACGGUACUGUAAGAAUAAGCACCGGCUAACUACGUGCCAGCCGCCGCCGUAA